AAUUUUUAGGGUUUCCAGAUUCUUCUUUUUUCAGCUUUCUGCAAUCCAGAAAGCUCAAAAAAGACUUAGGUUUAUCUCCCUUUUUAAUUUAAUUGCUUGGUUAACUUUUUUUUUUUUUAAUUAAUUAAUGGAUCGAGAAAAAAGUUGAAGCUGAUUCGGUUUAAAUUCAGGCAGUCAAUGUGGGAUAUCAAAAUUAGAUGUUAUGCAAUAGCUGCGUGAAGUUUGUGGUUUAUCGAGUUGCGCGUAUUGAUAGAAACAUUGAGCAAAGGCAAUUUAUCAAACUUGUUAAAAGUUGGAACGCAACUGGUAGCGUAAGUUAUUGUUGGAAUAGUCUAUAUACAGCGAGGAGAACGAUGAUGGUGGAUACUGGUGCAAGUGCUAAAGGUGGACCUGUUGUUGAUGUUUCACUGGAGAAGGAUGAUAGUGGUGGUUACGCUAGCGGAGGGUGGAAGAGUGAAGAUGGACGGCUCAGUUGUGGUUAUUCAAGCUUUAGAGGAAAAAGAGCCACCAUGGAGGAUUUUUAUGACAUCAAAACUUCCAAAGUUGAUGGACAAAUAGUUUGCUUAUUUGGGAUAUUUGAUGGCCAUGGUGGUUCCCGAGCAGCUGAGUUUCUGAAGGGAAAUCUCUUUCAGAAUCUAAUGAAACAUCCAGAGUUUUCAACGAACACCAAGUUGGCCAUAAGUGAAACGUAUCAACAAACAGAUAUGGACUUCUUGGACUCUGAAAAAGAUACUUUCCGAGAUGAUGGUUCCACUGCUUCAACAGCAGUUCUAGUUGGUAACCAUCUCUAUGUUGCCAAUGUUGGAGAUUCACGGACUAUAAUAUCAAAGAGCGGAAAAGCAAUUGCUCUUUCCGAGGAUCAUAAGCCCAACAGAACUGAUGAGCGGAGGAGAAUUGAAAGUGCCGGAGGUGUUGUAAUGUGGGCUGGUACCUGGAGAGUUGGAGGUGUAUUAGCGAUGUCACGUGCUUUUGGCAACCGCAUGUUGAAGCAAUUUGUUGUUGCUGAACCUGAGAUCCAGGAUCAAGAGAUUGAUGAGGAACUAGAACUACUCGUGCUUGCCAGUGAUGGACUCUGGGAUGUUGUGCCAAAUGAGGAUGCUAUUUCAUUGGCACAAGCAGAAGAAGAACCAGAAGCAGCUGCUAGGAAGCUGACGGAAACUGCGUUUACUCGGGGUAGUGCUGACAAUAUUACCUGCAUAGUGGUGAAGUUUCAUCAUAAGAAGGCUGAACCAGAGGGGAGCCAGCAAGGUUGAAGAAUUUGUCGAUGUUGCAGCUGCCUUUUCUGGAGCAAGGUUGCCUCAAUGGGACGUCGCCAAUGCAAAUUGCUGACUAUAGCAUCAGAAGAGGCUGCCAUUUUUUCAUUCAUUUCUAUGCAUUAUUUCCGCAUUCUGUGUUUAAACUGUUGUAUUUAAGUUCUACUUUCGAGUACUACCUGGCUGCAUGGAACCAUCAAAGGAUGGCAGGAAUUGAUUGAAACUUUAGCAUGGGCUCAUGAACGCACACCUUUGGCCAAUUUGAUUCGCUGGAGAGAUAAACCAGUGGCCCUUUCCAUUGUACAAGCAAGAUUGGUUGGAUUA